rnacentral:sRNA from 1 species
CUGAAAGAUCUUUUCCUUUGUGCUGGCUUUGACCGUAUGUAAUUUUGGGACUUUAAAAUGGUUCGCAAGGGCCGGUCCCAAAAACAAUAUAUCAUCCUUAUGAAAUUUUUUCUGAACAAUUAAACAAAUGAUUUUAAUAAUCUGUUUAAAACAACUUUCAACAACGGAUCUCUUGGUUCUCGCAUCGAUGAAGAACGCAGCGAAAUGCGAUACGUAAUGUGAAUUGCAGAAUUCAGUGAAUCAUCGAAUCUUUGAACGCACAUUGCACUCCUUGGUAUUCCGAGGAGUAUGCCUGUUUCAGUAUCAUGAGCACUCUCACACCUAACCUUUGGGUUUAUGGCGUGGAAUUGGAAUGCGCCGACUGUCAUGGUUGGCCCUUCUAAAAUGUAGUUCUUGGCUGUCACCUAAUACAGCAGUUUGGCCUAAUAGUUUUGGCAUUCAUUGUCAAAUCUUUGGCUAACAUUUGCUCCAGGAGUCAGUCUUGAUAAUACAGAAAACUCAUUCAAAUUUUGAU